rnacentral:tRNA from 1 species
GCCUGGGUGGCUCAGUGGGUUAAGCGUCUGACUUCGGCUCAAAUCACGAUCUCGCAGUUUGUGGGUUCAAGCCCCGCGUCAGGCU